rnacentral:rRNA from 1 species
GACGAACGCUGGCGGCGUGCCUAAUACAUGCAAGUCGAGCGAAUUUAUGGGAGCUUGCUCCCGUAAGUUAGCGGCGGACGGGUGAGUAACACGUGGGCAACCUGCCUAUAAGACUGGGAUAACUUCGGGAAACCGGAGCUAAUACCGGAUAAUUCCUUUCCUUACAUGAGGAAAGGCUGAAAGACGGUUUACGCUGUCACUUAUAGAUGGGCCCGCGGCGCAUUAGCUAGUUGGUGAGGUAACGGCUCACCAAGGCGACGAUGCGUAGCCGACCUGAGAGGGUGAUCGGCCACACUGGGACUGAGACACGGCCCAGACUCCUACGGGUGGCUG